AUACGGAGGAUGCGAGCGUUAUCCGGAUUUAUUGGGUUUAAAGGGAGCGUAGGUGGGAUAUUAAGUCAGCUGUGAAAGUUUGGGGCUCAACCUUAAAAUUGCAGUUGAUACUGGUUUCCUUGAGUACGGUAUAGGUGGGCGGAAUUCGUGGUGUAGCGGUGAAAUGCUUAGAUAUCACGAAGAACUCCGAGCGCGAAGGCAGCUAUCCGGGACGGAACUGAGACGGAUGCUCGAAAGUGCGGGUAUCAAACAGGAUUAGAUACCCUGGUAGUCCGCACAGUAAACGAUGAAUACUCGCUGUUUGCGAUACACUGUAAGCGGCCAAGCGAAAGCGUUAAGUAUUCCGCCUGGGGAGUACGCCGGCAACGGUGAAACUCAAAUGAAUUGACGGGG
rnacentral:rRNA from 1 species